rnacentral:lncRNA from 1 species
AGGUAGCAGUAUUACAGAUAGAGAAACUAUAAGAUAUUAUCAUAUAAGUAUCUUAUCUAAUAAUCCUUUACUAAUUUCUCUUUCUAAGCUUGAUCGGAUCAAGGGAGGUUAGAUAUAGAGGACAAUCCUUUACCUGACUCUGGUCUGUCUUAGACUAAUUAGUUCGAUUGGGCUUAGGAGUCCUAGCAUGAUACCACUGCACCAUACUUG